rnacentral:rRNA from 1 species
CGGGUGAGUAAUACAUCGGAACGUGCCCAGUAGUGGGGGAUAGCCCGGCGAAAGCCGGAUUAAUACCGCAUACGACCUAUGGGUGAAAGCGGGGGAUCGCAAGACCUCGCGCUACAGGAGCGGCCGAUGUCAGAUUAGCUUGUUGGUGGGGUAAAAGCCUACCAAGGCGACGAUCUGUAGCUGGUCUGAGAGGACGACCAGCCACACUGGGACUGAGACACGGCCCAG